UCGAUAAACUCUGUCGAACCCGCUCACAU
rnacentral:sRNA from 1 species